rnacentral:rRNA from 1 species
AGGGGGAGGGGUUUUUCCGGGAAGUAUUGGGCGUAAAGCGUCCGUAGGUGGCCCGGCAAGUCUGCUGUCAAAGACCACAGCUCAACUGUGGAAAGGCAGUGGAAACUGCAAGGCUAGAGUGCGGUAGGGGUAGAGGGAAUUCCCAGUGUAGCGGUGAAAUGCGUAGAGAUUGGGAAGAACACCGGUGGCGAAAGCGCUCUACUGGGCCGCAACUGACACUGAUGGACGAAAGCUAGGGGAGCGAAUGGGAUUAGAUACCCCAGUAGUCCUAGCUGUAAACGAUGGAAACUAGGUGUAGCACGUAUCGACCCGUGCUGUAUCGGAGCUAACGCGUUAAGUUUCCCGCCUGGGGAGUACGCACGCAAGUGUGAAACUCAAAGGAAUUGACGGGGGCCCGCACAAGCGGUGGAGUAUGUGGUUUAAUUCGAUGCAACGCGAAGAACCUUACCAGGGCUUGACAUGUCCGGAACCUCUGUGAAAGCAGAGGGUGCCUUCGGGAGCCGGAACACAGGAGGUGCAUGGCCGUUUCGGUAGGUGCAA